ACAGAUGACUUCUUUACCACCGGCUUCCCGGUGGCAGUACGCACCCUCUUUGGGGAUGGUGCCAACCCGGCUUCCAGAUCAUCCUUGGCUUGACGCUUGGAUGCUCUAGAAGAUGACCCUACCUUGUCUGACGGAUGGGGGUUGACGAAGAAUUUCUCAGCAGUCUAUAAAUCAAAGCUACUGAAGGAGAACCAACCCUCCGAUUCUCC
rnacentral:lncRNA from 1 species